rnacentral:rRNA from 1 species
AAAGGAAUUGACGGGGACCCGCACAAGCGGUGGAGCAUGUGGUUUAAUUCGAAGCAACGCGAAGAACCUUACCAAGUCUUGACAUCCUGAUGACGUAUCCGUAACGGGAUAUUCCCUCCGGGGCAUCAGAGACAGGUGGUGCAUGGUUGUCGUCAGCUCGUGUCGUGAGAUGUUGGGUUAAGUCCCGCAACGAGCGCAACCCUUAUCCUUAGUAGCCAGCAUGUCAUGGUGGGAACUCUAGGGAGACUGCCGGGGACAACCCGGAGGAAGGCGGGGAUGACGUCAAAUCAUCAUGCCCCUUAUGAUUUGGGCUACACACGUGCUACAAUGGCGUAAACAGAGGGAGGCGAAGGGGCGACCUGGAGCAAAUCCCAAAAAUAACGUCCCAGUUCGGAUUGCAGCCUGCAACUCGGCUGCAUGAAGCUGGAAUCGCUAGUAAUCGCAGAUCAGAAUGCUGCGGUGAAUACGUUCCCGGGUCUUGUACACACCGCCCGU